ACAGUGGUGGUUCAGUGGUAGAAUUCUCACCUUCUGUGAGGGAGACCUGGGUUUGAUUCCCAACCAGUGCA
rnacentral:tRNA from 1 species